rfam:Picea glauca, whole genome shotgun sequence.
ACAUGCCUACAACAUAGUGUUAAUGCACUGGAUUCCAAUAGACCUCUGUAGUUAAGCACACUCGGGCUAGAUUAGUAUUGGGAUGGGUGACCUCCCAGGAAGUCCUAGUAUUUUACAUGCC